rnacentral:rRNA from 1 species
AACGAACGCUGGCGGCAGGCCUAACACAUGCAAGUCGAACGUGAAGCCACCUUCGGGUGGUGGAAAGUGGCAGACGGGUGAGUAACGCGUGGGAACGUGCCUUUCGGUUCGGGAUAACCCAGGGAAACUUGGGCUAAUACCGGAUACGCCCUCCGGGGGAAAGAUUCAUUGCCGAAAGAUCGGUCCGCGUCGGAUUAGCUAGUUGGUGGGGUAAAAGCCUACCAAGGCGACGAUCCGUAGCUGGUCUGAGAGGAUGACCAGCCACACUGGGACUAAGACACGGCCCAGACUCCUACGGGAGGCAGCAGUGGGGAAUAUUGGACAAUGGGCGCAAGCCUGAUCCAGCCAUGCCGCGUGGGUGAAGAAGGCCCUAGGGUUGUAAACCCCUUUCAGCGGGGAAGAUAAUGACGGUACCCGCAGAAGAAGCCCCGGCUAACUCCGUGCCAGCCGCCGCCGUAAGAC